UCCUCCGAAACCCCUUUCUCAUCAUCACUUAAGACUCCUCCUUCUCUCCGCCGCUCCCACACCCACCUCCCUCUCGCCGGUGACGGACAAGGCCAAGAUCAAAGAAGAAGAAGAGUGGGGGAGUUCUGUCCGAAGCUUCUGAGAAAGGCAGUAUGCAUGGAGUGACAGAUUGGCGGCAGAGAUAGCUGGCACUCGGCAGCGAGAUGUUCAGUCCAGCAGCAGCAAUGUGCCCCAUACUGAGGUUAAAUGGGAAGUACUGAACCAUGGCUUGCCAGCAUCGCGUGUUUCAACACUAGCGGAGACGACUGUACAGGGCUCCUUGCUUCCAGCAGAACAUGAGAAGAAAAGACAGAGAGAUGUUUUGGCUGAUUGUAAGAAGCAAGCAAGUACCGCUGCGCCCGCUGGUGAUUCAUCUAUCCAUAGCCUUGCACGUUCUCCUGCUGCUCCUGCUACACUAUUUCAGCGUUGUGCUUCGGCUUGUCCAGCUUCACCAGAAUGCCCAGACCGACCUCACAACAAGCUGGUUAAGAACGAGUUUUUAAACAAGACGGAGCUUGCGAAUAUUGUCGGGGCACGCAGGAGUGAUUACAGGGGCAGGGGUCGUCCAAUGAAAACUAAGCAUGUUCAUGAUGUUCAUACUCCUAGCCAUUUUAUGGUUUAGAUAGAUGUACGUCAGAAUCUUCAACUGUUCGUGCUGCCGAAAGGAAUUGAGAAAUUCUUCAAGGGCAUAGUCCCUUGGUGCAUACAGUUGUGCACAAGCCCUCAUUGCCACUGGAACAUAAAUUUGAGCCGCUAUGAAGAGAAACUGGUCUUCAA